GGGCUGUGGUCUCCGGCUUAAUUGUCUGAAUUUUCAGUUUGGACUGUCGUUUUGAAGAUCAGACCUCGUGGCAAAGGUCUCCUUCAACUUUGUUACAACUCAACCAGAUAUGAUUUCAUCAUGGACUGCUGUGGUGGCUGGUUCUGAAAGAAAUGUGGCAGUAAUGGACAGUGGAUGCAGUGUUUACGGCUAGAAGAGCUCAGCCAGAUGGCCUUCUUCUAUCAUGGGCUGCUGUGGUGGUUGGUUCUGGAAGGAAUUUAGCGAUAAUGGAAUGUCCGUCUAUCUUCUUGUCUAGGUAAGCUUCCUCCCAAUUGUGGUUG